rnacentral:snRNA from 1 species
UGUUCUUAUCAGUUUAAUAUCUGAUACGUCCCCUACCCGGGGACUGCAUAUUAAAUGGAUUUUUGGAUCACGGAGCUGGAGCCGGGGCAUCGGCCUGGUAUUGCAGUUUCUCCAGAAACGUUGU